CCCUUAGAUGUUCUGGGCUGCACGCGCGCUACACUGAUGCACUCAACGAGUUUACGAGCUUGUCCGAGAGGAUUGGCUAAUCUUUUUAAAAUGCAUCGUGAUGGGGAUAGAUUAUUGCAAUUAUUAAUCUUCAACGAGGAAUUCCUAGUAAGCGCGAGUCAUCAGCUCGUGCUGAUUACGUCCCUGCCCUUUGUACACACCGCCCGUCGCACCUACCGAUUGAAUGGUCCGGUGAAGCCUCGGGAUUGCGAAUGCUUCGUGCGGACGCGAGAACUUGGCUAAACCUUACCAUUUAGAGGAAGGUGAAGUCGUAACA
rnacentral:rRNA from 1 species